AUUGAACGCUGGCGGCAGGCCUAACACAUGCAAGUCGAGCGGAUGAAGGGAGCUUGCUCCUGGAUUCAGCGGCGGACGGGUGAGUAAUGCCUAGGAAUCUGCCUGGUAGUGGGGGAUAACGUCCGGAAACGGGCGCUAAUACCGCAUACGUCCUGAGGGAGAAAGUGGGGGAUCUUCGGACCUCACGCUAUCAGAUGAGCCUAGGUCGGAUUAGCUAGUUGGUGGGGUAAAGGCCUACCAAGGCGGCGAUCCGUAACUGGUCUGAGAGGAUGAUCAGUCACACUGGAACUGAGACACGGUCCAGACUCCUACGGGAGGCAGCAGUGGGGAAUAUUGGACAAUGGGCGAAAGCCUGAUCCAGCCAUGCCGCGUGUGUGAAGAAGGUCUUCGGAUUGUAAAGCACUUUAAGUUGGGAGGAAGGGCAGUAAGUUAAUACCUUGCUGUUUUGACGUUACCAACAGAAGAAGCACCGGCUAACUUCGU
rnacentral:rRNA from 1 species